UUUUCUACACAACAACAAACGAGAGCUGUGAGCUGAGCUGCAUCCUCCCUCUCACACAGGCAGAAGGAAGCAAGGGCCAUAAACUGGAUGAAGUAAAAGACAGUACAAGUCUCCUAUGCUUAGGACAGGCUUUGAACUUUUGGACUAUAAGAUUCUCAGCAACAUUGUAAGCCUGAUGAAUAGGUUUUCCAAGAGGAUGAAUUCAUUCUGAUUGGACAAGAGCAGGGGAAGACAAAAUUCAAGAGGAAGGGGAAAAGAGCUACCUGGACCAAACACACACAGUUGCUUGAACCAAGGAAUGAAAGCGUGUAUAACAUCUAACAUCAUGAAAACUCCGAGAUGGAAUAUGCAGUUUUAAACAAAGAACAUGUAUCAUACUUAGCUGCUAUUGACAGUUACCUCCAUUCUCUACAUAAGAUGACCGAACAUGCUAAUGCCAGGUGCUGUUUUUUAGAACAUGCCUUAGCUGAAAUGGCGUGGUCCAAGGACUUUUGCGUGAUUUGUGGGCUGCUGACUGUCACAGGAUGUAAGAGAACCUAUGUUCUAGGAAAUUCCCAGAAAUCCCACAAUCAGAUUUACAGAGGUCUUCAUGGAUCAAUGCUGAUAUGAAUCAAAUUGUGUUAAUGUACUGGGAUUGUUGUCACAAAUACCCAUUUUAUUGAAUUAUUUUCUUGCCCGCAAGCCAGUCACAUUUUAUGGACCUUUUUAGCAAAAAAGCAGCCAAAUCAUCUAAUCAGUAGGGAAGUUUUUGGAGUAGAUUGAAGAAACCAGAAUACCUAGAAAAAAUAAACACAUGACAUGGAAAGAACAUGCAAACUCCACACAGAGUAAUUAAAGAUUAGGGCUGAAUCCCAAUGUGAUGAGGCAGAAACAUGAACUACUGAGGCACAGUUCUGUCCUUUCUCUUCUCUGUUUUACUAGCAUACUUGACCCUAUUCAAACAAAACCUUUACUACUGGAUGUGAAAUCAUAAAUUUACUCCUGGUCUGGCCCCCAUAUCCCUUAUGGACAGAGGCUGUCAAUAAGAGAAAUAUUGUCCUAACUAACACUCCCCUUACAAAUCCUUACUACCUACUAACAUGUCCCCCCCCCACAUGUGAUACUUGGGACACAAAUGGCUUGAGGUUCGUAGCUAGGCUUGUAAUGGCCUUACUGGUUGUUAGCCUAGUAACAAUCUAUAAACCUAUGAACCUAUGCAUGUCAGUAAUUAGUGAAAUGUAUCAGAUUAUAUACAACAGUUUAAUUGUACAGGAAAAUAACAUGACUAAAACGUCUCAAGCCUCAUCAGCAAUACACAUUUCAAAACUAUCCCUACAUUAUAGGCACCCCUAAGUUUGACUUAAAACUUUGAUUCAUCCCUCUUACAGUAGGACAUCUUUGAGGAGUUCCAAGUUAACUGUAUCAGUAUUUAAAAAUGUCACUAAUUUGGGGCCUUCUUCUGAAUUAUUUUUUGCUUUGUCCCUAAUUUUGUUGGUAAAAGGUUGAAAACUAUGUAGCAGUACAGCUGAAUUAUAGGAUUUAGAAGUACAAUGUAGAAAGGUUAAAUUCUUAACUAUAUUUGUGUUGCACUCAAGCUUCUACUGCCCGUAAUUUUUAAGGAAAUAAAUGUACUUUGGAAUUGCUGUCUUUCUGCUUGUAACGAUAAUCAUUUCUUUAUUGUCUCAAUUCACUUGUUAUUAUUUACUUAACAUUUGUU